rfam:Felis catus isolate Cinnamon breed Abyssinian chromosome F2, whole genome shotgun sequence.
GCCUGGGUGGCUCAGUCGGUUGAGCGUCCAACUUCGGUUCAGGUCAUGAUCUCUCGGUUCGUGGGUUCGAACCCCACGUCGGGCU